CCAUCUUUGCUUUGCGUAACGGAAUUUGCAAGUCGCCUUUUACUACCUGCAACCGUUGCGCAGAGCGCUUUAAGAUUUUUAGCAUUCACUUUUUGGAACCGUUGUCACAUGACAACU
rnacentral:snRNA from 1 species